AUGAACCCAAUUCAAAUCUCAUUUCUUGUGUUUCUCACACCUUCAGUUAAAUCGGCGGCUAGGAGUCCCAAACGUGACGCGAUCUGCAACUUGUGGUGUUUCUUCGGUGUUCUGCGGCGGUGGGUAGCAUACAGUCGGCAUCGUGUGGCUGGGGGUGAGCUGUGGUCGGACAAUUCCGGUAGUGUGGCCUUAGAGCCGACGGCGGGAUUGAAUGGGUCACCGACGAGAGUGGAGCUCACGGCGGAGGUCUUGCGCGGAGGACGGUUGAGGUUUGGGCAGCGGUGUCGCUCGAUUCGGGGCGGAGGGAGUAGCCGUGUUGCCGGCAGAUAA